ACAUGCAAGCCGAACGGCAAGUUGAGUAGCAAUACUUGACCUAGAGUGGCGUAAGGGUGCGUAACACGUAUGCAAUCUACCCUCAACAGGAGGAUAGCUCCCCGAAAGGGGAAUUAAUACUCCAUAAGAUCACGGUCAGGCAUCUGAGAGUGAUUAAACUACAAGGGGUUGGGGAUGAGCAUGCGUUUGAUUAGUUAGUUGGUGAGGUAACGGCUCACCAAGACGAUGAUCAAUAGGGGAACUGAGAGGUUGAUCCCCCACACUGGCACUGAGAUACGGGCCAGACUCCUACGGGAGGCAGCAGUAGGGAAUAUUGGUCAAUGGGUGAGAGCCUGAACCAGCCAUGCCGCGUGCAGGAAGAAGGCCUUCUGGGUUGUAAACUGCUUUUGCCGGGGGAUAAAAUGGCUUUGCGAAGCUAAUUGAAGGUACCCGGUGAAUAAGCCACGGCUAACUACGUGCCAGCAGCCGCGGUAAUACGUAGGUGGCAAGCGUUGUCCGGAUUUAUUGGGUUUAAAGGGUGCGUAGGCGGUUCUUUAAGUCAGUGGUGAAAUACAGCCGCUUAACGGUUGAGGUGCCAUUGAUACUGAAGAACUUGGGUACAGACGAGGUAGGCGGAAUUGACGGUGUAGCGGUGAAAUGCUUAGAUAUCGUCAAGAACACCGAUAGCGAAGGCAGCUUACUAGACUGUAACUGACGCUGAGGCACGAAAGUGUGGGGAUCAAACAGGAUUAGAUACCCUGGUAGUCCACGCCGUAAACGAUGAUAACUAGCUGUCCGGGCUCUCAGAGCUUGGGUGGCGCAGCUAACGCAUUAAGUUAUCCGCCUGGGGAGUACGGUCGCAAGAUUAAAACUCAAAGGAAUUGACGGGGCCUGCACAAGCGGUGGAGCAUGUGGUUUAA
rnacentral:rRNA from 1 species